rnacentral:ribozyme from 13 species
AGUUGAAGAAAAGAAGAAAAAGAAGAGAAGAAAAAUCGAAAAAACCCUCCCAAACACCAUUUUUUUGUUCUUUCUUUUUCUCUCUCUUCUCUCUCUUUUCUUUCUUU